GAUGAAGAACGCAGCGAAAUGCGAUAAGUAAUGUGAAUUGCAGAAUUCAGUGAAUCAUCGAAUCUUUGAACGCACAUUGCGCCCGCCAGUAUUCUGGCGGGCAUGCCUGUUCGAGCGUCAUUUCAACCAUCAAGCCCUAGGCUUGCGUUGGAGCCCUGCGGCUGCCGCAGGCUCCCAAAUCCAGUGGCGGGCUCGUCGUCGUACCGAGUGCAGUAAACAUCCUCGCUCAGGGAACGUGACGGGUUCUUGCCGUGAAACCCCCCACAUAUCAAGGUUGACCUCGGAUCAGGUAGGAAUACCCGCUGAACUUAAGCAUAUCAAUAAGCGGAGGA
rnacentral:misc_RNA from 1 species